rnacentral:rRNA from 1 species
UUUCUCAAAGGUUGACCUCGGAUCAGGUAGGGAUACCCGCUGAACUUAAGCAUAUCAAUAAGCCGGAGGAA